rnacentral:rRNA from 1 species
AGCAGUCGCCGCGGUAAUACGAAGGGUGCAAGCGUUAAUCGGAAUUACUGGGCGUAAAGCGUGCGUAGGCGGUGAGUUAAGUCUGCUGUGAAAUCCCCGGGCUCAACCUGGGAAUGGCAGUGGAUACUGGCUCGCUAGAGUGUGUCAGAGGAUGGUGGAAUUCCCGGUGUAGCAGUGAAAUGCGUAGAGAUCGGGAGGAACAUCAGUAGCGAAGGCGGCCAUCUGGGACAACACUGACGCUGAGGCACGAAAGCGUGGGGAGCAAACAGGAUUAGAUACCCCGGUAGUCCCUGUCUCUUAUAC